AUCCGCACCACUCCCAUCUAUUUCAAAAUUUGAAGACUGUACCUCUCCCAUCCAUCUCUCCCAUUUCAAAUACUCCAUCUACUAACUUAUUUUGAAGACUCUAACGGUCCAUCUCUCCGGCGAAACUCGGCACCACCACCGUCGCUGAUUCUCCCCCUCUCUCAAUCCCACUCUCUUUCCCUCUCUAUUCUCACAAUUCCCAAAUUAGGAUGCAUCUAUCUUUCUCCCAAAAAUCUGACUCUCUCAUCUCCGGCGAAACUCGUCUCCAGCAUAUCACAACCGCAACUUCUCUCUCUCACUCACCCUUCUCUGGCCUCCACCUCCUGUCAGGUUGUGCGAAAUUUCUCAUUAAAAUUACCUAGAAACCCUACAUGAAAAAGCGGUGCCUCUAUCUCCCUCCUCCAACGGCACUGCACUCUCCCUCUCCAUCUCCAUCUCCAUCUCCAUCUCCAUCUCCAUCUUUCUCUCUCAAUUGGCGGAAUCGACUCGUGUUUUCCCCACACCAAGAGUCAUAGCCCUCGCAGAUUUCACGCCCCCGGCCUGCUCGCCCGGAGAAGAAAGCCGAGGACGUGGCUGUCUCGGAGUUUGGUCCCCACCGCGGCUGCUACUCGCCAUCAUCAGACGCCGUCGUCUCCUGCAGCAGGUCGCUGGUCUGGAUUCGUGGGCGGCGUCGGGUGGCCCCUGACUCGCGGCCUUGCCACCGCCGCCAGCUGCGCGAACCCGUCGCCUUCCGCCCUUCCGUCGUGGGUCUUUUCUCCUUUUUCUUCUCAUCUUUCUCCCUAAUUGAAUUGUAAAUUGAAUUGGUUUAGUUGGGGGCGAACUUGUAGUGUGUGAUCAUGCGUGCAAAUUAAGCUAGAAAAAGUGUUUAUUUAAUUGUCUAGACGGGAUACAUGUCACCAUCGACCUCCUCAUGGACUCGCCGUCUGAUUUCGUUGCUGCUGAUUCUCGCCGAGCGGUGAGAGGCGCUCCAGGAUCCACUGAGCAGUCGCUUCGGUCGGUGUCAUACUCCAGCCAUCUCGGCUGCAUUGUCAUUGUCAAUUUCGUCGGACUGCCGUGGACUUCUCGGCUUAGGGAAGCUUUAGCAACAAUCUUUCUACUCCCUCUGGAGAGUUUGUAUCUGGCUGGUGCUUGUCUAACGUUCUAGUUUGUGAAGAGGAUGCACCAUUAGAUGUACCUCGUUCAUCUUAUGCUCAUCAGAGAACGUCUUUGUUGAUUAAAGUGAUUGCAAACCUUGAUUGCUUUGUUCCUGAUGUAUACCAGGAUGAGAAGGAUUUGUUUCUCAACAUGUUCAUUUGGUUCAUAGAGAAGGACUAUUAGAAACUGUCAGAUGACAAAGUGUCCACAGUUAUGUUCACUACUAAGUCUUUAGUUCCAGGAUUUUUGAAUGAAGAUGAUGUACAACUGCUGAAGUAAUUUGAAUAUAUGCCUUCCUUCCAUGCUGAAAUCUGGUUAUUUGUAAGUCAGUUUGAGUUUCGAAUCGUUCGUGCUGCAUCAGAAGAUCAUUUAGUCCAUGUAAAACCUCUCCGGCUUAACAUAUGGAUGUCAUUCAUCUUUUUCAAUAAAUGAGCUUGGGAAGAGGUGGACUGUAGGAGCAACUAGCUUCCUAUAUUGGACUCCCGGCCCUGAUGAAAAAAAGAGUAGAUACAUCAGUAGAGGUUUGCUUGAGAAGGUACCAGGUUUGCAGCCGGUAGGAAAUCCGAGCUUUCAGCAUUUUGGUCUUUGAGGAUUCUGGAAAAACUUUCCGUUUGAGUCAGAUUACAGAGCAAUCAUGCUGCUUUGAGGCUACUGAGAUAAUUCAGCAUAUUCUAGUGUUACUCGUAGUCGAUUUGAUGGCCACUCUAAGCAUUUAGAUUCAUUCUUCCAAAUGUUAUCUCUUGUGCAACUAAGGUGUUUUCCGUGAUAGUUCCUAGUGCAUAAAUAGACUAGAAAGUACUUAGUCGAUCAGAAGGUCGAGGGUGGUAGGGGACUGAGUUCUCAACAUAAAAGAAACGGGUGGAAAGGGUGGAAAAUUGAAGGCACAAGUCUAUUUAUUGAUUUUUGUGUUAGCUUUGCUUGAUCUUCUGCCUCUUGGUUGUUGCACCUAUAUUUUUCUACUUAUUUAAUUCACUCUUUGCUACAUUUUGCAGAUUUAAAAUUAAUCUGUUAAAUAUAUUAUGUUUUUGUGAGUUAUACAGUGCCUGACGUUUUUCUAAUUUUUUCUAAUCCACUGUUUGCUGUGUUACUGCUUUAUAAAUAACACAUACAUAGUAUCCUAUUUUUUUGUCUCAUAUGCUUGUACAAAUAUGUGCUAUAUUAGUGUUUCUCUGAUAUAUAAACUCCCAUUGAUUGUCAAAUCUUGGCAUCUUAAUAUCUGUUUUUACAGGCUCAUUCCCAAGUACUUACUAGAAACAUUUCCUUUUUUACUUUGGCAUUAGGUUUGUUGUACUUGCAUCUAAAAAAGAAAUCAUGGGCCUUGGAAGCUGGUUGAGCAGUCAAUUGGGUCUAUAACAAAUGUUUAUAGCAUUUACCGUACAAUAAGCAUUGCAAUAUCUGCACUUUGAGAAGAUUUUGCCUUUUAUACAUAUGCAGUUUUCAGUUUCUCAUUUUGCCCUACUGUUAACAUGGGCAAUUGUUUUGUAUAGGUUCUUGCAUUGCUGAAAAAAUGUUUGGUAUAGAUUCAAGAGAGUUAAAUGCUCCCUCCGAGGAAAGUUACCCGAAGGGCCAACUGGAACGUAAUACAAAGCGCUUGGCAGAUGUCGUCUCAGAUGCUUCAAAUUUUCAGUCAUUCAUUAUGAUAAACUUUGGAAGCUUUAGCAACAAUCUUUCUACUCCCUCUGGAGAGUUUGUAUCUGGCUGGUGCUCGUCUAACAUUCUAGUUUGUGAAGAGGACGCACCAUUAAAAUGAGAAGGAUCUGUUUCUCAACAUGUUCAUUCGGGUCAUAGAGAAGGACUAUUAGAAACUGUCAGAUGGCAAAGUGUCCACAGUUAGCAAUAACUUGUGUUCACUGUUAUGUCAUGCAGAGUCUUUAGUUCCAGGAUUUUUGAAUGAAGAUGAUAUACAACUGCUGAGGGAAUACGCUUCAUAAAAAGGAAUUUUAGUGACAGAAAAGGAAGCUAGGAAGGUAAGACUGAUCUUGUAAAGAUGACAGGAAAGAUGGUAGUAUAUAUUUAAAGAAAACAAUUUAAUCGAUCACUCAAAAUUAAAAGUUGGAAUGUUUCGAAGAUGAUCUAAAUUGACAGAGUAUUAUGUUUUUUUAUUCUGAUAAAGAUAUAAUGGUAGAGGUUUGUUUUCAGCUUUUUGGUAUGCCAGAAGGAACCAGUUUCCAGCAGGUGGGAAAUCCGAGCUUUUAUUGUAGUUGUCAAAUCCUGGGUCUUGUGAAUGUGCUUAUUUGUCUAAGUUGCUUGAGGGCGAGCAAGACUUCUGUUUGGGGGGUAUUUGACCACCUCACUAUUAAUUCCACUGAGUUGAAGGGUAUAAAGCUGCAACUAAUAUUUGUAUUUUUAUAAACCUAACUUUAGUUCGAUAUUUAGUGUGUCAUUUCAUACUAAAGCCAUCAAUGAAGAACUACUGCAAAAUCUUUCUGAUGCUCUACACUUGUCGGUACCUGAUAAAAUUAGGGUUGGACUUCUUUGUCUAAUUUUGAAGAACACGAUAUCUUCACGAUACCAGGAUGUGUGGUUAGUUAUUCUCUUCUUUGUACAUACAUUUAGAUGUAAUUUUUUGUUUAGUUGUAGGAAGUGGAAUACAUACAACAGUCUAUUAAUUUUGUAUCCUUGGAAUUCUUCUACCUGUUGCACUAAACCUGUAACCCUUUUCUUGGCUGUAUGCAGGAAAGAAUUUCUGUCUGAUUUAGAUUACUGAGCUGUCUGCCAAUUCUGCUGCGUUUGAGGCUACUGAUAUAAUUUAGCAUAUUCUCGUGUCACUCUUAGUCGAUUUGAAGGCCUCUCUAAGCAUUUAGAUUCAUUCUACUUGAAGGCCUCUCUAAGCAUUUAGUUUCAUUUUUUCAAAAUGUUAUCUCUUGUGCAACUAAGGUGUUUUCUGUGAUAGUUCCUAGUGCAUAAAUAGAGUAGAAUGUACUUGGUCGAUCUGAAGGUCAGGGUGGUAGGUGGAGUUUUUAACUUAUAAGAAAAGGGGGGAAGGUGUGGAAAACAAAAGGCAAAAGUCUAUUUAUUGGUUUUUGACCUUGCUUUGCGUGGUCUUCUGCUUCCUGGUUGUUGCGCCUAUAUUUUUUUAUUUAUUUUAUUCAUUAUUUGCUGCAAAAGUGCCUUUUGCAGCUAAUUAUUGAACUGUUACAUAUAUUAAAUUUUUGUUUGUUAUACUGUGACUGACGUUUUUAUCUUUUUCUAAUCCACCUUUUGCUACCUUGCAGCAUAAUUAAUUAAUACAUACAUAGCAUCCUACUUUUCUUUGUCUAUGCCGUGUACAAAUAUGUGCAAUAUUAGUGUUUCUUUGAUAUGUAUACCCAUCGAUUGUCAAAUCUUGGCUUCUUAAUAUAUCUGUUAACUAGACACAUUUCCUUUUUUACU